CCGCACUAACCGGGGAGUUAGCGGUGCCUUGUUGCCUGCAAUCCGCUGUAGCAGGGGUGAUAUGCUUCUACGAGGGUUCAGCUGUGUGGCUGCGCCUAUUCCGAAAACGUUGAUGAGUGGGUCUUGCGCGAUCGAAAGCUGUGAACCAUGUCAGGUGGGGGACCAAGCAGCAUUAAGCAGUGUCUUCGAUGUGUUGUAAGGUUGCCUGUUCGGAGUUGGACGAUAGGUUAACGCGCGUGGUUUGAAUUCAACAGAAGAUGUGCGG
rnacentral:SRP_RNA from 1 species